UUAAAAGCUUGUUGAGCCUUGGGUAGCCUA
rnacentral:piRNA from 1 species